GAGUUUGAUCGUGGCUCAGAGCGAACGCUGGCGGCAGGCUUAACACAUGCAAGUCGAGCGGGCGUAGCAAUACGUCAGCGGCAGACGGGUGAGUAACACGUGGGAACGUACCUUUUGGUUCGGAACAACUGAGGGAAACUUCAGCUAAUACCGGAUAAGCCCUAACGGGGAAAGAUUUAUCGCCGAAAGAUCGGCCCGCGUCUGAUUAGCUAGUUGGUGAGGUAAUGGCUCACCAAGGCGACGAUCAGCAGCUGGUCUGAGAGGAUGAUCAGCCACACUGGGACUGAGACACGGCCCAGACUCCUACGGGAGGCAGCAGUGGGGAAUAUUGGACAAUGGGGGCAACCCUGAUCCAGCCAUGCCGCGUGAGUGAUGAAGGCCCUAGGGUUGUAAAGCUCUUUUGUGCGGGAAGAUAAUGACGGUACCGCAAGAAUAAGCCCCGACUAACUUCGUGCCAGCAGCCGCGGU
rnacentral:rRNA from 1 species